AGAUGGUGCAGCCCAGAGGAAGAGGCGUGGCCUAGGCUUCAAUUGAACCGUGAGGGCGUGGUUACGGAUGGAGGCGGGCUGGUGGCGUGGGCGGGGCGCAGAAUUAGUUCGAGUGUGAGAGAGAGCGGCCGCUGCCGGAGGACGAGGGCGUGCGCAGUUCAGUUCCUGGCUGUGGUCAGAGUCCCGUCAUCGGUAUACCUGCGGAACAACGGUGGAAAGCCGGCGCCCAGCGGGCCGGAUCGCUAGGGCGAGGGCUGCCGCGGGGCGGGACUUCCGGUUUAUCAAGCGUGCUGGCCAGAAGUCAUGAACUCACGUAGCGUUGUGACGUGAGGGGGUGUAUCCAAGAUGGCUGCGCGCAUGAAAUAGUGUGCCGGGAGUCCUCGCGGAGAUCGAUCCCGGUAGGUGCGGGCGACUCCUUGUAGCAUUAACAACAGUGUAACAUGGCCUGUCUGAGAGGACAAGGACUAGCCCCUGGCUCUUACACUAUCGCGCGCUACCGUGGACCGGAGAGACCCCACGGUCACCAGAUGACCUCUGAGGAUGGUUUCCACUUACGAGGUGAGGAGACCGCAUCUCUAGAAACUGACGCUGCAGAAGCUGAAACUUCUCCGGAUCCGCGUUAUUGAUAUCCCGACUGCGAUACUCACCACCAUCUCCAGGAUCGAGAGAAGAGGAACUUCCAAAUAACGGGGACUGGGAUCCGUGUGACAGCCGGCGUUAAAAGUUACUGGGCCGAAGCUGCUGGAAACUCGUGACUGUACUCUCCCUCGUUUGUUUAUAACUGAGAGAGCUUGAGAAAUGCUUGGCUGUGUACACCUUAAUUAGGCUAGUCUCUUACGUAUCGCUCCAAAGGCCGCCGUUGCUUUUUCUCCUGCUUUCUUUGCUCUCACUCUGCCAGUCUCCCUUCUAGUCGAAGGUUUUGCUGAUGUGUGUAGAACAAUCCGAAAUCCCUAGUGAGCAAGGCAGUCCUGUGCAUCUCUCGGGGCAAAUGCACCCAGGCUGCUUGGGAGCCCACUGUGAACCCAGGUUCACCCCACUCCCGGUAGCUAUUCUGCAGUAUUUUGGAAACGAAAACUUCCCCGUUGUUUUUCUCCUUUCAGGUGUUUUAAAGUCCGAAUUUCGGGAAUCGCCGAAAGCAACAAGAGCCCAGGUCUCUGCCUUUCCACACCUGCGUUGCUUUCAGGAGCCGGACAGUGGGCCACCAUUGCUUAGAAUUGGACCGCAAAUUGGUCAAGUACAUUGCAAGUGGAAGUAAGUGUGAGGGAAAUGACGAAAGUGCUUUGCUUGCGGUCCUCUGCCACAGGUCAGACGUCUGCCAGCAGGAAUGCGGAAUGGGGCUUCUCUGAAUUGUUCGUGGGCAAGGUGAAGAGAGCGCCUGCUCUUACAGCUCCAGUUGGACUUGGUUUGUCCUCCCUGGACAGUUCCACAUAAUUUCCAAUGUCUGUUGUUGACAGUUACUAUUUUUCUGCCCUAGUGUUUUAGGUCCCUGCAUGUUAUUUGGUAUCUGCUUAGCAUUACAAGAGGAAGGGGUGACAAGCAGCCUAAAGAUCAACCUUGAAGCAAAACUCUCUGCAAAUUAUUGUGAAGAUGGAGUCUGGUUCAGAGGUCCUUGCCAGCAGGGCUCUCGAAGUCUCUGUCCCUAAACUUCUGACCUGGAACUGAGCCUGUCAGAAGAAGGCAUUAGGUCACCUGGAGCUGGAGUCACGUACAGUUGUGAGCAGCCUGAUGUGCACACUGAGACUCGAACUUAGCUCUUCCUUGACCUUGGAGCCAUCUCAGCCUCAGGAGUUUCAUGAGCAAGGAAAGACCUGGUGGACACUCAAGACCAAGAAUGCUCAAGAAUGCUGAGCCUUAAAGAAAGGUAAAAUGCAAACUCCUUUGCUAGUUCCUACAACACAGAACUUAGCAUGGACUGCUGUUUCUAGUAAGAGGGCUGCCACCCGAUCUUUAACAUUCUUCUUCAGAUGUUUAAAUCUGAUUUGUUGGAAGCAGCAUCACUGAAAGGUGGAGCUUUUUCAGAAACCAGCAUUUCAGGGCACCCUUGAGCUCUGUGUUUGUACCUUUGCUGGCUGGAAGUCAUCUUCGACUAUGAACUAAGAUAGCUGUCUGCUGUUUUCUUAGACAGCAAGCUGUAACUGUUGACCCUUCUGACUUGUAAUUUAACAGCUUGUACAUGUUAGUGACUUAAGAUGAAAGCAGCCAGAGCCAUUUAGUGUAUUAUCUAAUGAAACUGCCUAGUCACCUAGAAAAGAAAGGAGACAUGAGGUCCUAAACUAUACAGGUGGAAUUUUGUUUUGCUAAUUCUUAAUGAGAUAAAACAGAUGUGAGCUAGAAUGUUAUUGCAGUAAUUCGUAAUGCACAUGAUCUCUGUACCUUUAGAAAGAUGUGAAACAUGGCUUAUACUUGGUACCUGCAGUACCAAGGCCGGAGUUCUGAGACAUUCUGGGCUACAUAGCUAUGAGACCCUGUCUCACACAAAAGAAAAUAGAUAGAUGUGAGUGGGGCUCUCUGAAAUGUAGCCACAAGUCACUUGUUUGCAAAUAAAUUUUAAUUUCAUUAAACUUUUA